UACGUAGGGUGCAAGCGUUGUCCGGAUUUAUUGGGCGUAAAGAGCUCGUAGGCGGCUCAGUAAGUCGGGUGUGAAAACUCCAGGCUCAACCUGGAGACGCCACCUGAUACUGCUGUGGCUAGAGUCCGGUAGGGGAGCAUGGAAUUCCUGGUGUAGCGGUGAAAUGCGCAGAUAUCAGGAGGAACACCAGUGGCGAAGGCGGUGCUCUGGGCCGGAACUGACGCUGAGGAGCGAAAGCGUGGGAGC
rnacentral:rRNA from 1 species